UCGAUAUUCGGCUACGGGUUUUGGGUAUAUUUAUCUUUUGUUACGAUAGAUCAAUAUACCCAAGGCUCGGAAACGAUGUCGG
rnacentral:pre_miRNA from 1 species